UGGUGGACAUGCAGCGAGGCCUACACAGAGCGGUACAAACGGGCACAUGCAGACGGAAUCUCGAGACUCAUUCAUAGCUCCGCCCCUCCAAGGCAGCGUGCAAGGCCUGAUUGGUGCACCACGUUCGGGGUUGGGGCGGCUGCAGCCCUCCUGCUUGCUCUGAAACAAUGGAGUGGAGAGACACUCAUCAGAAAGGACACAGCGCGCUGCUGAGAGUCGAGGGACGCUCAUGACUCAGUUACUCGAGAAAAGAAAAAAAGAAAAAAAAGAAGAGGAAUGUUGGCAGAAGACUCGUUGGGUGUUGUAGUCACCACCGAAAAAUCCCCAGCUCUGGGACAUCGGUGUUGGCAAAGAUAGACUACCUUGUAAGCCACUCUGGCCGGGCACUUCUUCCCCAGACCCAGGGGCGGGGACAUGUGUCUCAGCAUCUGAUACAUGUCCGGUUCAGGAGGAGGUGACAAUACAGCCAGAAGAUCUGAGACGGCUCCUUACCAGGCAGCAGGGUCAUACUCUGCCCAGACACGCACGUAUUCAUCCAAGUGGUGGGGGCCCAGGAUGGAAGAAUCUCGGUCCCACUUUCUAGGGAUUCAUUGGCUUGAAUCAGUGCCAGGGGUGAAGACAUGGCCCUCCUCGUGUGCAGACUCACCAGAAACGAGCACAGGAAGAUGAACGAGACAAAGUAGAAGUACGCGAACUCGUUGCCACAGUCUGCUGUGAGGAUCCCGGAGUUCUUAUCGCAUGGCUUCCCACUGAGGCAGGAGAGCAUGAUGUUGUGCCACGCUUCUCCUGUGGCGCUCCUGAGGAUACACAGCGUCAGUGAUCUGGGCUCCAGCCCCAGAUAGACACUACUGCCUUCCUAGAAGGGUAAGGACUGAGGCUCUGGGCAAGCCAGUCACGGGCGGGCGCAAGGCCCAGAGGACCAUCUCCUUUCCCUUGGUGCUCAAAGUGCCAUGUUCAAGCCUGGUUGUGCCUUAAAUGUCCUCGGGGAGGCGUCAGUGAGGUACUUUGGUAAGCACAGGUUCUUAUCACAAGGCUUGCUCACCUGAAUUUGAUCCUUGGGACUCACAUUAUAAAAAGGAGAGAGAGAAGUGACUCCCACAAGUUGUCCUUGAUCUCUGCCUAUGUGCCAUGACAGGUGCACCCACACCCACUAAAACUCUAUACAUGUAAGAAAAAUAAAAGAAAGUCCGCAGCAAGCACUGAAGUGGUGGGGCUGGGAUGUCUGG
rnacentral:lncRNA from 1 species